GUGGGGAAUAUUGGGCAAUGGGCGAAAGCCUGACCCAGCAACGCCGCGUGAGGGAAGAAGGCCUUCGGGUUGUAAACCUCUGUCCUUAGUGAAGAGAAAGAGACGGUAGCUAAGGAGGAAGCCCCGGCUAACUACGUGCCAGCAGCCGCGGUAAUACGUAGGGGGCGAGCGUUGUCCGGAAUGACUGGGCGUAAAGGGCGUGUAGGCGGCCGAUUAAGUCUGGAGUGAAAGUCCUGCUUUCAAGGUGGGAAUUGCUUUGGAGACUGGUUGGCUUGAGUGCGGAAGAGGCAAGUGGAAUUCCCAGUGUAGCGGUGAAAUGCGUAGAGAUUGGGAGGAACACCAGUGGCGAAGGCGACUUGCUGGGCCGUAACUGACGCUGAGGCGCGAAAGCGUGGGGAGCGAACAGGAUUAGAAACCCGGGUAGUCC
rnacentral:rRNA from 1 species